GCCGCGGGACACGCUGACCAGCCGCUCCUCUGGAGUCUUUGCGCAGGAAGUCGAGAUCCAUUGCCGCCCGGAGAUGUCGCAAAGUGAAGUUUUCAGAAUGGACGGAUCAUGACAAUGGUAUUCCUGAGAUUGAAAGCACGGGAGAGGAUGAAGGGGAGGAGCCGCCGCCUGUGCCGCUGACCUCCGCCCACCCGCUGCUGCGCGUGC